rnacentral:rRNA from 1 species
UACCAGCACCCCGAGUGGUCGGGACGUUUAUUGGGCCUAAAGCAUCCGUAGCCGGUUCUACGAGUCUUCCGUUAAAUCCAGCUGCUUAACAGAUGGGCUGCGGAAGAUACUAUGGAGCUAGGAGGCGGGAGAGGCAAGCGGUACUCGAUGGGUAGGGGUAAAAUCCGUUGAUCCAUUGAAGACCACCAGUGGCGAAGGCGGCUUGCCAGAACGCGCUCGACGGUGAGGGAUGAAAGCUGGGGGAGCAAACCGG